GGGAGCUCCGAGUGGAAUGUGCUUUCCUAUGCUUGGAAUACCAUGUAAAUAACAUUAAAGAUGAAGAGACAUCAAGCAUCCACUGAAGGCUUUAAUCACUAAAAAUACUCUGUAGUCAAUGAAUAAAGUAGUCAUGCAUACCUA